rnacentral:tRNA from 1 species
GACUCGCUAGCUCAGUCGGUAGAGCAACUGGCUUUUAACCAAGUGGGUCCGGAGUUCGAGCCUCCGGCGAGUCACCA